UUUCAACAAUUUCUUCUUCCGAUCCGGAGGACAGAAACAAUGUCUCUUUUCUCUAGCACCCUUCUGGGCUCAGAGCUCCAGCAACUUUCCCUUCCAACUUUAUCACUGAGAAGAGCUUCUGAAAGCUACCCGGGCCACACCUCCAGCCCAAACACCGCCCGAGGCCCUGCCAAGGACCACCCCCGAUACCCGUGGGACCUCUCCCCGCCCGGCGACCAGCCCCAGCUGGAGGGAGCGUAAAGGCCAACGCCCCCAUUGUGCGGAGGUGGAGACUGAGGCCGGAGGUGGCGCCCGCGGAACCCCGCGGCCGGCGGGGUGAGGACUGGACCCUCAGCGCGCGUCCAGGAUUCCCUCCCAUUCCCGGAGCGGCGAUCGGUCUUCUUCCCGGGCGCGUGGGGUUUCCACGUGGGAGAGACAGAAAGCAGCGCAGUCCCUGUGGAUCGGAGCCCGUCGGCGCGGUCCACCACUCUCCUCCCCAUUCCCCAGACAGAGAAACUGAGACCCAGCGAGGGACCGGCCCCAGCCCGGGACCCGCCGCGAGCCCCACCCCGCGCCUCACCUGCUGGCCGUCGCCGCGCGCCCGUGGUUUCCUGGAGUUGAGCGGCAAACAAAGGCCUCCAAUCCCGGCGCGGGGCGGGGCGGCGAUUUUUUGCUUAAUCCCCGAGGCGGGCCUGUGACGGGCGGGGAGGGCCCAGGGAGGCGGGGCCUCAGGAUGCUACACCAAUCGCAGAGGCGGCCGCCUGCGGCCCGCCCCCAGGGACCGGGACUGGGCUCCGGCCCUGAAAAGUUCACAUCUGGCGGGUUCCGGUCCUUCCUGGAACCCGCCCGAGUGCGGGCCGGAGCCUGCGGCCCAGAGCUACGACAUUUGUGCAAGGUUGCACAGAGCCACGAUGAGAAAGACACCACGAACUUUCAUAGCUGGGACGGACUGCUUCGUGACAGUAUAAUAAUAAUAAUAAUAAUAAACAACUUUUUUUGAGCACUUA